rnacentral:rRNA from 1 species
GACGUAGGGUGCGAGCGUUGUCCGGAUUUAUUGGGCGUAAAGAGCUCGUAGGCGGCUCGUCGCGUCGACCGUGAAAACCCGCGGCUUAACUGCGGGCUUGCGGUUGAUACGGGCGGGCUAGAGUUCGGUAGGGGAGACUGGAAUUCCUGGUGUAGCGGUGAAAUGCGCGGAUAUCAGGAGGAACACCGGUGGCGAAGGCGGGUCUCUGGGCCGAUACUGACGCUGAGGAGCGAAAGCGUGGGGAGCGAACAGG